AGCUGGAUUAUGGCUCAGAUUGAACGCUGGCGGGAGCUUACAUGCAAGUCGAACGGCAGCACGGAUCAGUUCAGGUGGUGAGUGGCGAACGGGCGGAAGGUGUAUCGGAACGUGCCUAGUAGCGGGGGAUAAUCACGCAAAGCGUAGCUAAUACCGCAUACGCCCUUCGGGGAAAGCGGGGAUCUUCGGGCCUCGCACUAUUAGAGCGCAUUGAUAUCGACACAGUUGGUGUGGGGUAACGGCUCACUAUGAUGAUCCGUAGCUGGUUUGAGAGACGCGAUCGCCAGCCACACUGGGACUGAGACUACGCCCAGACUCCUACGGGAGGCAGCAGUGGGGAAUUUUGGACAAUGGGGGAAACCCCGAUCCAGCCAUCCGCGUGUGCGAUGGCAGGCCUCGGUUGUAAAGCACUUUUGGCAGGAAGAAACGGCACGGGAUAAUACUCCGUGCAACUGACGGUACCUGUGAGACAAGCACUGGCUAACUACGCGCCAGCAGCCGCGGUAAUACGUAGGUGCAAGCGCAACCGGGAGAACUGGUCAAAGUAAAGCGUGCGCAGGCGGUUCGGAAAAGAAAGAUGAAAUCCCAGAGCUUAACUUUGAACUGCAUUUUUGAACCACUGAGCCAGAGUGUGUCAGAGGGAGUGUGAAUUCGCGUAGCAGUGAAAUGCGCAGAUAUGCGGAGGAACACCGAUGGCGAAGGCAGCCUCCUGGGAUAACACUGACGCUCAUGCACGAAAGCGUGGGGAGCAAACAGGAUUAGAUACCCUGGUAGUCCACGCCCUAAACGAUGUCAACUAGGCUGUUGGGGCCUUCGGGCCUUGGUAGCGCAGCUGACUGGCGUAAAGUUGACCGCCUGGGGAGUACGGUCGCAAGAUUAAAACUCAAAGGAAUUGACGGGGACCCGCACAAAGCGGUGGAUGAUGUGGAUGAAUGAUGUGAACGCGAAAACCUACUUCAUCUGACAUGUCUGGAACUCUGAAGAGACUGGUAUGUCGCAAGAGAACUGGAACACAGGUGCUGUGCGGCUGCUGUCAGCUGUGUCGUGAGAUGUUGGGUUAAGUCCCGCAACGAGCGCAACCCGCUUACGAAGUUGCUGUCGAAAGGGCACUCUAAUGAGACUGCCGGUGACAAAACCGGAGGAAGGUGGGGACACACGUCCUCAUGGCCCUUAUGGGUAGGCUUCACACGUCACAUACCGGUUGGACAGAGGUCGCCAACCGCGAGGUGGUUUGAAUCCUGAAACCCGAUCGUAGUCCGGAUCGCAGUCUGCAAACUCGACUGCGGAAGUCAACUUAGGAACGGUGGACCGCAUGUCGCGGUGAAUACGGCCCAAGUCUUGUACACACUGCCCGUCACACCAUGGGAGUGGGUUUUACCAGAAGUAGUUAGCCUAACCGUAAGGAGGGCGAUUACCACGGUAGGAUUCAUGGACUGGGGUGGUCAACAAGGUAA
rnacentral:rRNA from 1 species